rnacentral:lncRNA from 10 species
GAGCUGCCUGCCAGUCUGGCGCUGUGCGCCCGCACUCCUCAGCCCUUGGGUGGUCGAUGGGACUGGGCACCGUGGAGCAGGGGGCGCCAUGGAGCAGGUCCCGAGCCCUGCCCCGCGGGAAGGCAGCUAAGGCCUGGCGAGAAAUCGAGCGCAGCGCCGGUGGGCUGGCACAGCUGGGGGACCCAGUACACCCUCCGCAGCCGCUGGCCCGGGUGCUAAGGCCGGCAGGGCCGGCAGGCUGCUCCGAGCGCGGGGCCCGCCAAGCCCACGCCCACCCGGAACUCCAGCUGGCCCGCAAGCGCUGCAGGCAGCCCCAGUUCCCGCUCGCGCCUCUCCCUCCACACCUCCCUGCAAGCUGAGGGAACCGGCUCCGGCCUUGGCCAGCACAGAAAGGGGCUCCCACAGUGCAGCGGUGGGCUGAAGGUCUCCUCAAAUGUCGCCAAAGUGGAAGCCCAGGCAGAGGAGGCGCCCAGAGCGAGCGAGGGCUGUGAGGACUGCCAGCACGCUGUCAGCAUGAUCUUGGCUUACCGCAACCUUUGCCUCCCAGGUUCAAGCGAUUCUCCCGCCUCAGCUGAGGCUACAGGCAUGCGCCACUGUGCCCAGCUAAUUUUUGUAUUUUUAGUAGAGACAGGGUUUCACCAUGUUGGCCAGGCUGGUCUCAAACUCCUGACCUCAGGUGAUCCACCCGCCUCGGCCUCCCAAAGUGCUGGGAUUACAGGUGUGAGCCACUGCAUCUGGCCUUUUUUUUUUUUUUUUUUUUUUUUUAAAUUGAGAUGGAGUCUCACUCUGCCGCCCAGGUUGGAGUACAGUGGCGCCAUCUUGGCUAACUGCCACCUCCGCCUCCCAGGUUCAACCAAUUCUCCUGCCUCAGCCUCCCAAGUAGCUGGGAUUAUAGGCGCCCACCACCAUGCCUGGAUACUUUUUUUUUUCUAUUUUUAGUAGAGACGGGGUUUCGCCAUAUUGGCCAGGCUGGUCUCCACCUCCGGUGAUCCGCCUGCUUCUGCCUCCCAAAGUGCUGGGAUUACAGGCCUGAGGCACCGCGCCUGGCCUGAAGAAUCUUUUCAAAUGCAACAGGGAGAGGGAUAGUUGUAUCAGAAUGUUUUCAACUAAAACCACCACCUGGAGUGCCAAACUGCAACGGGGACCUAGACAGAUUCAGAUUGUGCCACUGGAGCCCUGGAAUUGGAUUGCUGGAUAGACUCACUGUGUUAAUUUAUUUAAUCUUGGAUCAAGAUAGUUAAGAGGGAGUGC